GCCCAGACAGCCAGGAUGUUGGCUUAGAAGCAGCCAUCAUUUAAAGAAAGCGUAAUAGCUCACUGGUCGAGUCGGCCUGCGCGGAAGAUGUAACGGGGCUAAACCAUGCACCGAAGCUGCGGCAGCGACGCUUAUGCGUUGUUGGGUAGGGGAGCGUUCUGUAAGCCUGCGAAGGUGGCCUGUGAGGGUUGCUGGAGGUAUCAGAAGUGCGAAUGCUGACAUAAGUAACGAUAAAGCGGGUGAAAAGCCCGCUCGCCGGAAGACCAAGGGUUCCUGUCCAACGUUAAUCGGGGCAGGGUGAGUCGACCCCUAAGGCGAGGCCGAAAGGCGUAGUCGAUGGGAAACGGGUUAAUAUUCCCGUACUUGGUGUUACUGCGAAGGGGGGACGGAGAAGGCUAUGUUGGCCGGGCGACGGUUGUCCCGGUUUAAGCGUGUAGGUGUGUGUUCCAGGUAAAUCCGGUUCACUUUAACACUGAGGCGUGACGACGAGGCACUACGGUGCUGAAGCAACAAAUGCCCUGCUUCCAGGAAAAGCCUCUAAGCAUCAGGUAACAUCAAAUCGUACCCCAAACCGACACAGGUGGUCAGGUAGAGAAUACCAAGGCGCUUGAGAGAACUCGGGUGAAGGAACUAGGCAAAAUGGUGCCGUAACUUCGGGAGAAGGCACGCUGACACGUAGGUGAAGUGAUUUACUCAUGGAGCUGAAGUCAGUCGAAGAUACCAGCUGGCUGCAACUGUUUAUUAAAAACACAGCACUGUGCAAACACGAAAGUGGACGUAUACGGUGUGACGCCUGCCCGGUGCCGGAAGGUUAAUUGAUGGGGUCAGCGCAAGCGAAGCUCCUGAUCGAAGCCCCGGUAAACGGCGGCCGUAACUAUAACGGUCCUAAGGUAGCGAAAUUCCUUGUCGGGUAAGUUCCGACCUGCACGAAUGGCGUAAUGAUGGCCAGGCUGUCUCCACCCGAGACUCAGUGAAAUUGAACUCGCUGUGAAGAUGCAGUGUACCCGCGGCAAGACGGAAAGACCCCGUGAACCUUUACUAUAGCUUGACACUGAACAUUGAGCCUUGAUGUGUAGGAUAGGUGGGAGGCUUUGAAGUGUGGACGCCAGUCUGCAUGGAGCCGACCUUGAAAUACCACCCUUUAAUGUUUGAUGUUCUAACGUGGACCCGUUACCCGGGUUGCGGACAGUGUCUGGUGGGUAGUUUGACUGGGGCGGUCUCCUCCUAAAGAGUAACGGAGGAGCACGAAGGUUGGCUAAUCCUGGUCGGACAUCAGGAGGUUAGUGCAAUGGCAUAAGCCAGCUUGACUGCGAGCGUGACGGCGCGAGCAGGUGCGAAAGCAGGUCAUAGUGAUCCGGUGGUUCUGAAUGGAAGGGCCAUCGCUCAACGGAUAAAAGGUACUCCGGGGAUAACAGGCUGAUACCGCCCAAGAGUUCAUAUCGACGGCGGUGUUUGGCACCUCGAUGUCGGCUCAUCACAUCCUGGGGCUGAAGUAGGUCCCAAGGGUAUGGCUGUUCGCCAUUUAAAGUGGUACGCGAGCUGGGUUUAGAACGUCGUGAGACAGUUCGGUCCCUAUCUGCCGUGGGCGCUGGAGAACUGAGGGGGGCUGCUCCUAGUACGAGAGGACCGGAGUGGACGCAUCACUGGUGUUCGGGUUGUCAUGCCAAUGGCACUGCCCGGUAGCUAAAUGCGGAAGAGAUAAGUGCUGAAAGCAUCUAAGCACGAAACUUGCCCCGAG
rnacentral:rRNA from 1 species